rnacentral:tRNA from 1 species
GGUGGGGUUCCCGAGCGGCCAAAGGGAGCAGACUGUAAAUCUGCCGUCAUCGUGUAAAUCUGCCGUCAUCGACUUCGAAGGUUCGAAUCCUUCCCCCACCACCA